rnacentral:rRNA from 1 species
AACGAACGCUGGCGGCAGGCCUAACACAUGCAAGUCGAGCGCCCCGCAAGGGGAGCGGCGCACGGGUGAGUAACGCGUGGGAACAUGCCCAGAGGUCGGGAAUAACGGCGGGAAACUGCCGCUAAUACCCGGUAAGCCUUGAGAGGGAAAGGAGCAAUCCGCCUUUGGAGUGGCCCGCGUUGGAUUAGCUAGUUGGUGGGGUAAAAGCCUACCAAGGCUACGAUCCAUAGCUGGUCUGAGAGGAUGAUCAGCCACACUGGGACUGAGGCACGGCCCAGACUCCUACGGGAGGCAGCAGUGGGGAAUAUUGGACAAUGGGGGAAACCCUGAUCCAGCCAUGCCGCGUGAGUGAAGAAGGCCCUAAGGGUUGUAAAGCUCUUUCAGCUCCGACGAAGCCGAGAGUGACGGUAGGAGCAGAAGAAGCACCGGCCAACUACGUGCCAGCCGCCGCCGU